rnacentral:lncRNA from 1 species
CACUAUGUAAAAAGUGCCUUUUGCCUUCCACCAUGAUUGUGAGGCCUCUCCAGAUACGUCGAACCGGUAGAAAUUCAGAAAUUCAGUGUGUAAAAUGGUAAAGUGGAUUGAAGUUGAAGAUAUUAGAUCAUUUAAGAAGUCAAUAAAUGAAGUAAUAAACAUGCGAAUGAGAAGACUGAUGAUGAAGAGGACCUUUAAAAGUGUAUUUCUGUUACGGUUAUUUUUUUUUUAAAGUGAUUUGAAGCCAUUUAUAAUGAUUGCUAAGUGGCAUGCUAAAGUUUUAAAAACAAAUAAAGCAUUAAAAAAUAA